rnacentral:rRNA from 1 species
UAGUUUGAUCAUGGCUCAGAUUGAACGCUGGCGGCAGGCUUAACACAUGCAAGUCGAGCGGUAACAGAUCUAGCUUGCUAGAUGCUGACGAGCGGCGGACGGGUGAGUAACGCGUAGGAAACUGCCGAGUAGUGGGGGAUAGCCCAGAGAAAUUUGGAUUAAUACCGCAUACGCCCUACGGGGGAAAGGAGGGGAUCUUCGGACCUUUCGCUAUUCGAUGUGCCUGCGUGAGAUUAGCUUGUUGGUGAGGUAAAGGCUCACCAAGGCGACGAUCUCUAGCUGGUUUGAGAGGAUGAUCAGCCACACUGGGACUGAGACACGGCCCAGACUCCUACGGGAGGCAGCAGUGGGGAAUAUUGCACAAUGGGGGGAACCCUGAUGCAGCCAUGCCGCGUGUGUGAAGAAGGCCUUCGGGUUGUAAAGCACUUUCAGCAGUGAGGAAAGGUUAUAAGUUAAUACCUUAUAGCUGUGACGUUAACUGCAGAAGAAGGACCGGCUAACUCCGUGCCAGCAGCC